rnacentral:ncRNA from 1 species
GCAUUUUUUUUUAUUUGCUUUAUGAUAAAAUUGACCAAUUGAGACAAAGAGAAGCAAAAAUGCGAAUUUAAGCUAAUCUCAAAAAAUAGGAUAAAAUAUGGAAAUGGAUUGUAGCCUGAAAUUCGGCUGCAUGAAUAAGAAAUUGCUAGUAAUCGUGAAUCACCAUGUCACGGUGAAUA